GCCAGCUUGCUAACGGCCUUGCCCCAUUCAGAUGCAUCGAACUCACAGAACAUCGCUCCCCAGCUGCUGGCUCGCGGUUCUGAGAGUGCCUGAAUAGAAAACCACUCAUUUCCCUUCGCAAAAGAGGCGCCCAAAGCAGAUAUUUCAAUAUAUUCCAAUUUAGCCGAGGGAAGCCAGAACAUGGAUGUUGUUGCCAAGGAAACCACCUCCUUCCUCCUGUGUGCUGUGCAUACGUGUAUCACUUCAUCUCUCUGCUCUCCAAGCUUGAAUCUAGAUCUGACGUGGAUAUCCUGCCACAGUUCCGAAGUCUACCUAGUGCCCCAGCCGAACCUGCCCUGGCUCCUAGGUGGGGUAUGGACAUCUGUGACAUCCCUCCCCAACACCCCACCAAGCUGGGCUGCAAGACGGGUUAUGGUGGCCCCAUGACUUCCUUCCUUGAUGAAGAAACCAAGGCCCAGGGACUUCAAGCAACCAUAAGCAACAGCCAAUAAGCAGAAGAGCCUCUUCUGCACUGACUUGUAUGGACUUCCAGCCUUGCUCAUUUUCCUUUUGCAGCCUCAACCUUAUCUAGAUUUUAAGAGACAGCCCUUUUUGUACUUCCUCCCACCCCGCACCCUCACCUCUUACUCUUAUUAAGUUUAAAGUGCAAAAAUGAUGCAAUUAAAACCUAUAUUGCCUCUCGA
ensembl:lncRNA LINC00595 long intergenic non-protein coding RNA 595